UAGGUAGGGCAGAGUGUGAUGGUGGAGGUAGGUAGGUAGGUAGGGCAGAGUGUGAUGGUGGAGGUAGGUAGGUAGGGCAGAGUGUGAUGGUGGAGGUAGGUAGGUAGGUAGGUAGGGCAGAGUGUGAUGGUGGAGGUAGGUAGGUAGGGCAGAGUGUGAUGGUGGAGGUAGGUAGGUAGGGCAGAGUGUGAUGGUGGAGGUAGGUAGGUAGGGCAGAGUGUGAUGGUGGAGGUAGGUAGGUAGGGCAGAGUGUGAUGGUGGAGGUAGGUAGGUAGGGCAGAGUGUGAUGGUGGAGGUAGGUAGGUAGGGCAGAGUGUGAUGGUGGAGGUAGGUAGGUAGGGCAGAGUGUGAUGGUGGAGGUAGGUAGGUAGGGCAGAGUGUGAUGGUGGAGGUAGGUAGGUAGGGCAGAGUGUGAUGGUGGAGGUAGGUAGGUAGGGCAGAGUGUGAUGGUGGAGGUAGGUAGGUAGGUAGGUAGGGCAGAGUGUGAUGGUGGAGGUAGGUAGGUAGGUAGGUAGGUAGGGCAGAGUGUGAUGGUGGAGGUAGGUAGGUAGGUAGGUAGGUAGGGCAGAGUGUGAUGGUGGAGGUAGGUAGGUAGGUAGGUAGGUAGGGCAGAGUGUGAUGGUGGAGGUAGGUAGGUGGGGCAGAGUGUGAUGGUGGAGGUAGGUAGGUAGGUAGGUAGGGCAGAGUGUGAUGGUGGAGGUAGGUAGGUAGGUAGGUAGGGCAGAGUGUGAUGGUGGAGGUAGGUAGGUAGGUAGGUAGGGCAGAGUGUGAUGGUGGAGGUAGGUAGGUAGGGCAGAGUGUGAUGGUGGAGGUAGGUAGGUAGGUAGGUAGGGCAGAGUGUGAUGGUGGAGGUAGGUAGGUAGGUAGGUAGGGCAGAGUGUGAUGGUGGAGGUAGGUAGGUAGGUAGGUAGGUAGGGCAGAGUGUGAUGGUGGAGGUAGGUAGGUAGGUAGGUAGGUAGGGCAGAGUGUGAUGGUGGAGGUAGGUAGGUAGGUAGGUAGGUAGGGCAGAGUGUGAUGGUGGAGGUAGGUAGGUAGGGUAGAGUGUGAUGGUGGAGGUAGGUAGGUAGGUAGGUAGGGCAGAGUGUGAUGGUGGAGGUAGGUAGGUAGGUAGGUAGGGCAGAGUGUGAUGGUGGAGGUAGGUAGGUAGGUAGGUAGGGCAGAGUGUGAUGGUGGAGGUAGGUAGGUAGGGUAGAGUGGAGUUAUUGUGAUUGAAGACAGCGAGCCACAGCCAGCCUAUUAAAUCAGAAUGCAGGGUGGUCUGAGGCCAGUCCUGUUUACACCAUCUACUGGUAGGGCAGAGUGUGAUGGUGGAGGUAGGUAGGUAGGUAGGGCAGAGUGUGAUGGUGGAGGUAGGUAGGUAGGUAGGGCAGAGUGUGAUGGUGGAGGUAGGUAGGUAGGUAGGUAGGGCAGAGUGUGAUGGUGGAGGUAGGUAGGUAGGUAGGUAGGGCAGAGUGUGAUGGUGGAGGUAGGUAGGUAGGGUAGAGUGGAGUUAUUGUGAUUGAAGACAGCGAGCCACAGCCAGCCUAUUAAAUCAGAAUGCAGGGUGGUCUGAGGCCAGUCCUGUUUACACCAUCUACUGGUAGGGCAGAGUGUGAUGGUGGAGGUAGGUAGG